GUUUGAUCAUGGCUCAGGAUGAACGCUGGCGGCGUGCUUAACACAUGCAAGUCGAGCGAAGCACUUAGGAAAGAUUCUUCGGAUGAUUUCCUAUUUGACUGAGCGGCGGACGGGUGAGUAACGCGUGGGUAACCUGCCUCAUACAGGGGGAUAACAGUUAGAAAUGACUGCUAAUACCGCAUAAGACCACAGCACCGCAUGGUGCAGGGGUAAAAACUCCGGUGGUAUGAGAUGGACCCGCGUCUGAUUAGUUAGUUGGUGGGGUAACGGCCUACCAAGGCGACGAUCAGUAGCCGACCUGAGAGGGUGACCGGCCACAUUGGGACUGAGACACGGCCCAAACUCCUACGGGAGGCAGCAGUGGGGAAUAUUGCACAAUGGGGGAAACCCUGAUGCAGCGACGCCGCGUGAGCGAAGAAGUAUUUCGGUAUGUAAAGCUCUAUCAGCAGGGAAGAAAAUGACGGUACCUGACUAAGAAGCCCCGGCUAACUACGUGCCAGCAGCCGCGGUAAUACGUAGGGGGCAAGCGUUAUCCGGAUUUACUGGGUGUAAAGGGAGCGUAGACGGAGCAGCAAGUCUGAUGUGAAAACCCGGGGCUCAACCCCGGGACUGCAUUGGAAACUGU
rnacentral:rRNA from 1 species